GUUGAUGACAUCACCACAGGUCCUUUAAUCCCUCCAGCUUCAGAUGCUGGAAGAAAUGAAAACACAGAGCAUUCCGCAGUGAUGGAUUUUUAGAAGAGGACACGCCCCGCCCAGGAUCCUCUCAGUGGAUAUCUUCUAUAUAAGAUCCUUCUCCUGAUUGACCCGUCAAGGAUGGAGAGGAACAGGGACAAGAUGGCGGAGAGGAUAAUAAAUCUCACCCUAGAGAUCCUCUUCCGGCUUACUGGAGAGGACUACACAGUAGUGAAGAAGACCUCUAGUGAGCGCUGUGAGGACCCU